rnacentral:lncRNA from 1 species
AGGAGAAUUGACAAGUCUGAGCAGAAGAAGCACAGAUAUCAAAAGGCAAAGGAGGAGGAAGACUUGGAAAAACAAAAGGUAGCGACUAAGUUGUCUGAGUCUGAUCUGACAUGAACAAAACAAACCAAGCUGUAAUCCCAAGCCAUCUCUAAGUAUGUUCAUUCUGGAGUCCAGACAUUCUGAAAACCAAAUGGAAGAAAAGGAGCCAAGGUGACUAAGAAGGAUCAGCCAGAAAGGAAUGAGGAAAAGCAGGAGUGCCCAGAACCUCAAAAGCUGAGAGAAAGUGAACUUCAAAGAACAGAAGUGCAUCUGGGUAGAUAUCCUAAAGACUUGAAAUCAGUAUGUGGAAGAGGCAUCUGCAUUGCUAUGUUCAUUGCAGCAUUAUUCACAAUAACCCAGAUGUUGAAUCAACCUAAGUGUCUAUCCAUAGAUGAAUGA